UAACAACUUUCAGCAGUGGAUGUCUAGGCUCGCACAUCGAUGAAGAACGCUGCGAACUGCGAUACGUAAUGCGAAUUGCAGGAUUCAGUGAGUCAUCGAAAUUUUGAACGCAUAUUGCACUUCCGGGUUAGUCCUGG
rnacentral:rRNA from 1 species